UAACCUAGUCCCAACACAGCCCAAAAAGAGAAGGAGUCAGAGCUGGAAUCUUUGACCCAAAGACACGUUCCCCCCUCUGCUCGGUCUCAUUCUGGCUGCAGACAGCAGCUAAUGGAGGGAACAGACCACAUGUCAGAUGAAGGCCAUGAAACAUGCAGGGUGUGACCAGCAGGUGCGUCCUCACACCUGGAGCUAGUCAAGCCCAAUCAGGAGGAGCUAAAAGAAGAGUGGAUCCCCUGAGGCAAAUGCCAAAUUAUUUUGCUCCAAGAGAGGUAAAGAGUUUCCCGUUCACAUUCCUAGAUUUCAGUUCUCUGCAAUCUCGCUCUCACAGUCCGUUGAAGAUCUCACCUCAAGAUCCCCUCCAUUAAUCUCCUCACCACUCCUCUGAUUGCUACCUCGGUUCAUGCUGUUUGGAUUCCACCACAUCCAACUACCUUACUUACCUUCCUGUCAUCAGGCUCGGUAUCACUCACCCACACCUGCCAAUCUCAGCCUCUUUGGAUAUUCUCACCUCCUGUCUCGAGAUAACCAUCUCUUUCAUCAUCUCCCCCGAACCCGGAAGAGCAAUUCUUUCAUUUACUGUGUCAAUAAACUGUUCAAGCCUUUCAUUGUUGUCCGUAAUUGUUGCAUGCACGAGGAUCUCAAACAAAACCAACAUGACACAUGCAGGAGUUUGGAGGGGAUUCACAUGGCAGGGACUACAGCUUGAGUCAUUGCUGUAAGAGCCACCACACACUGAUGUAUCCAGAACAUGGCCUAUAACUGCUGUGUUCCUUUUGUUAAGCCACUCCUAUACCAGAGACAACCUCAGGCACAUCUAAACUAAGCUAAAGAGAAACAAAAUGAACAGCUGUUUAGUGGUCCUAAGACCUCUUGCAUUUCAUUUAGAAAUCAAGGUCCUAGGGUCUGGAGAAAGAGUGGAGAGGCACAGAAUGCAUGUUGCCUCAGGUUUAUUGUGAAGUUCCUACAGUCAUCUUAGAGCCCUUUAAGCAAUAUAGAGAUACUGAUUUAUUUUUCCAGCAGGACUUGGCACCUGCCCUCACAACCAAAAGUCCUAAUUCCUGGUUCAAUGACCAUAGUAUCACAGUGCUUUACUGUGAAUCCCUAAAUCCCUGAUCAUUGAAUAGACUUUUCCUUCGAAUUACUUCAAAUUACUUCAAAUCACCUAUACUGAAGGAACUUUGUAAAUUACCCAAGACAAAUCAAACAAACAUUAAACACUUUACAACAGCCACCAGGACAGAAGUUGAAGAGAGGAGAAAAGUGCAAAGUAAAACACCCAAAAGUUUGUUUUAUUUACAUGUCACAAUAAAUAACGUGGCACAGGAAGCCAGUCACACAAUGGAAGGAUUAGCAGAAGCAGAGCUGGCUGUAGACUGUAAUUGUAAUAUUUAUUUAUUUGUUAUUAAAUUACAUUUUUUUUCAUGAUGCAACAAUGAAUCCAAAGAAUAUUUGUUUAUGUUACAAUUAUUACUAUAUUGGAUUGUGAAUAAGUUUGUCAAUGAAAGUUAUCUCCAUCUUUAGAGAUAAUGUUGGUAUAUGAAAUACAAAGAAGUUCAACUUCUGGGUUGCCAUAUGUAAUUUUUGUUUUGUCAUUUUAUCUGCUGAAGUUUCUGUAAUAUUAUAAUCAAGUCCCACAGUUCCAGUAUUAUGUUCUAUUAAUUCAAUUAUAAACAGCAAGUGUGUAAAAAGCAAAGAUUUGGUGAUAACAGCCAAAAACUAC